CAUGAACACUGAAGUUUGGAUUUCAUAUAACUUUUACCAAUCAGAUCUUCCUUUUUUCCCUUUCUAAAUCACUAAAAUAUUUAAAAACUACUCUUAUCUGUGGGCCAUCCAAAAAUAGGUGGUAGUUGGGUUUGGUCAGUGGGCUCUCAUCUCCUGACCCUGAUCUAGAAAACCAAGACUUUAAAUUGCGUCGUGUUUAUCCUUAAACCUCCUUGUUUGUUUUUUUUUAAAGUUUAUCUUUAAACCUCCCGGAGACAUUGAAGGGGCCAAAUGCAUAUAGUUCAAGAAGAUAAAAAUAAAUUAAAAAGAUGAAGGAAAAAAUAAGGCCAAGAAAGACAAACAAGGAAAAGGAGACAGAGCCAGGGAGAGAAAUGGACCUAGCACUUUCCCUUGAGCACAUUUAUUGUGUAUUAAGAAGCUCAUCCUUGAUUUUCCUGUGGUGGCAAUAGAGCUGUUAUCAUGAUGAGUAAUGAGUUAGCCAAAGGAUUUCUGAGCUGCGAGGGUGAUGGAGGACCUCUCAAGGUAAUGGGAAGAUGAAAGG
rnacentral:lncRNA from 1 species